GCAGGCUCUCUGCUCCUCGCAAAAUGGCCUUCGCCAGGGCAUACCUCGCAUCCCCUCCAAAUAUUGACAGCACUGAGUCCAUCGCUUAUUGGAAAAAUGGCUUAGCGCUUCAAAGCGUCUUUUCCAUUGCAGACUGCGGUGAAAUGUUUCUCACCAGGGACCUCUGGAGUAACCUGUGUCACUACCAAUCUGCCAGGCUCUCGUGAUGCCAUCCAGAUGCCCCAUCCUGAAACACACACCGGCCUCUUUGUUUGCUCCACUUGAAGUUUAGGAGCCCCUUUUUUCACCACACUGGACAUGCACUAACACAUAUACAGAUGCACACGCAAUUACACCAAUUCACGAGCAUGGGUACACACUUUCAAACCGACACAAAUUUUCAGAUACUCCGUGUGCUUACCCACACGUGCACGCACACCCACACUCAUAAACCACCCCCUGUCUGAGGUAGAUGCAGCAAUGAGGAAUAAACGACAAAUUUCCUAUUU